rnacentral:rRNA from 1 species
GUGAGGAAUAUUGGUCAAUGGGCGGGAGCCUGAACCAGCCAAGUCGCGUGAAGGAAGAAGGAUCUAUGGUUCGUAAACUUCUUUUGCAGGGGAAUAAAGUGCAGGACGUGUCCUGUUUUGUAUGUACCCUGAGAAUAAGGAUCGGCUAACUCCGUGCCAGCAGCCGCGGUAAUACGGAGGAUCCGAGCGUUAUCCGGAUUUAUUGGGUUUAAAGGGUGCGUAGGUGGUUUGAUAAGUCAGCGGUGAAAGUUUGCAGCUUAACUGUAAAAUUGCCGUUGAAACUGUCGAUCUUGAGUGCAAAUGAGGUAAGCGGAAUGUGUUGUGUAGCGGUGAAAUGCUUAGAUAUAACACAGAACACCGAUUGCGAAGGCAGCUUACUGGGAUGCAACUGACGCUCAUGCACGAAAGCGUGGGGAUCAAACAGGAUUAGAUACCCUAGUAGUCC